rnacentral:lncRNA from 1 species
ACUCGCUGAUUGGCUGAGCAGGGCCGCGGACAGAGAGAAAUGCCGAGGAAUAGGGGCGCGGCCGCCCGGUUUCGGCGAUGGGUUAUAGGGUCCGCGUCAGCCCCGCGCCCGCACAGCCAACGUCACGCCGCAUUCUUAUUUCCAAAGACCCCUGGAGCUUGGGGUCCCACCCCAGCGGUCUUUCGGGGCGUCCCCUGCCCUUCACGCGCCGCGCCGGCUCGGCCCGAAGCGCCCUGCGGACCCGCAGCCUGGGCCGCCCCGAACCUGACGGCCCCGCGGGGGUCGGACGCGGGAGGAACGGCCUCGCUUUCAGAGACGCAGCGGGAGGGCGGUCCCCGCUGUCCCUCUGGCCGGGUCCUCAGCACGCGUUCUCCUCACUCCCAGGACUAGCGAGCGGCGGGCGCGGACCGGGGCCUGGGGUCGGAGGCGGCGCAGCCAGAAAGGCCCCAGCGGCGCUGAGACGUUUGGGGGAAGGCGGGGGCUUCGCGUUUCGAUGGCGGGAAGCGGAAUGAGGUUGGACCGGCCGGGCCGGCGUUCAGGGACCCGGCGGGAGGCGGAGGGCUGGCGUCCUCGCGGACAUCCAUCUGCAGCGAACCAGGCAGAGGCUUUGGGAUUAGAUCCUUGACUCCUUGCGUCAGUAGUUAAGCUUUGUGAUGGUCUGAGGUCCAUGAAGGGAUUAAAACCAGGAACUGGCUCCUUCUCCAACCACUAAAGCCUCAUCUGGGCCCACAAGCCCUGGCUGUUCCCUGGAGCGUGACUGGAAGAUGUGAGCAGCUUUGUGCUGGAGCCCCAUUUCCAUGGGCAGAAGGAACAUAAAGUAUGCAUUUUAUGAUACGACUCAGCUUGGAGGGAUGAAGUAGAAGGUCCUCACUGCACCUCAUGGCAGGCUGCUGACGGCAGAUAUUUUACCGGGCUCACUGAACUGGGCAGUCAGGGAAGGGUCGGCUCCUGCUCUGUCCAGCUGUCUUCAUAAGGGACUCUGUGACACUUUUUAUAAAAAUGACUUUGAUUUCUGCAUAAGAAGGCUUCCCAAGCUUGCUGUCUAGCAGUGGCUGCUACAGGGAAUUAUUCACAUGGCAGCAAGAGAGCCCUGGCUCCCUGGACCAGGACAUUCCCUUUGUGUGUGUUGGAAUGAGAGCAGGAGGAGUGCUGGUCAGAAGCCCCUCCCCAGGGCUCUGGGACUUCAGUGUUCUCAGACAAACUGGGCCGCUCCUCUGAGCUGGGAUGCUGACCCACACUUGGCCCCGGCUCUGGCAUCCACAGGACGCUGCCUUAUCCGUCAUCUCGCUGGGGCUGGGGGCUAGAGGCUGAGCAGGUCACACUGAACAAAAGAAGUGUGUCCCCAUCACUAGGCUAACAUCUGAGUUUCUUCCACAGUAUUUGGUAACACAGUCAGAAACAAGACUGAAGAUGAUUCUGGAGGCAACUGGGAACCCCCCAGAACGAUUCUGCAGGCUUCUGGGAAGCUGAAAAACCCCAAGGCCAGACUGGCCUCAGAAUGCCUGAGUCCUUUUGAUUCCACUGGAAAAGCCAUCCAUCUGUGCCAAGUGUGUGGAGAGCUUCAAGAGCCAUAUAGCCCUGGCCACCAUGAGCACAGCCACGUGGGGGAGUAGUCCUGAAAGUGUCCUGGUGUGGCAAAGGCUUUCCACUAAGUGGACCUCAGAUGGCACAGGAAGACCCUCCUGGGGAUGUGGGAGGACACUGCCUAGUGGGUGAGGGGCCGCUCUUUCAGGUGUGCACACUAAAUGCAGAGACAGCCUCUCCUGGCUGCCAAGAAGCCUGUGCAUGAUCCAGGACCACAAAACACUUGCAAACUCACUGCCCAGAGGCCCUGUGCCUGUCUGGAGUGUGCCCAGUGUGUCUGCGCCCCACAGCUUGUCCUGGCCCGCCAGCAGAGCCGCAGCACUGCAGGGCCCUUCUGUUGUGAGUGCCAGGGCCCUUGCUGGCUGCCUGAGCAAGGCAAAAGGUUCAAAACAGGAAGUCUCUGGGCAGCUAUUCCCAGGUGCAGAGGGGAGCAGCGGCCACACAGGUGCCAGUGUGGCAGGAGCUGCAGUCAGAGGCAGCAUCUCAAGAGCCCUGGGAGCAGGGGCCAGCCACGUGAAGCCCACGAGUGUCGCUGGCACAGGGAAGGGACACGAGGAUCACACUGACCCAAGAGAAGGCCCACAGUGAGGAGGCCCCACCGAAGCAUCCCCAGCAACAGGGACUGAGGCAUCUGAGGCAGCCAGCCCACUCGGAAAGGCCUGCUGACUGCACUCCAGAUGUCAAGAGCACCCUUGGGAAAAAGAAAGGCAGGAGUGCAGCACUUUCUAGAGCCUCAGCUCACUUCUCUCCUUCUAGCUCCAGCCGGAGUGAUGGAAGAGGCUGCGCUGGGAGCUGCCUCCCUGGGAGCCUACCCUGCCCAGCCUGAGAGUGGAGGCUACCAGCAUCACGCUUCCCCUAGUGAAAUCCAUCUGUCCUGAAGGGAACCCUGGGACGGGGUCAAGGAAACCCUGUUCACCCCCACCACGGGGUCAGGUCUUCACCAAAGGGAGGCCGCACGGAUUCCCAGUCGCAAACCCAAAGCCUUGCUGCCUUUGCCUCUGUUUCCAUAGUUGUUUCAAUGUCUUUUUUAAAAAUCACAUACACUCGAGUAAGACUGAGUCUCCUCACCGAAGAGAUCUGGCUGUAUCCCGAGUCUCUGAAACCUUUGCUCCAGUCCCGUGGGAGCGUGCCGUCCCGAGGAUGUGGAGCCGCAAGGGCUCGCCAGAGGGAUCUCAGGAGCUAGGCCUCAAGGAGCGCUGUUGAGUGACAGGUCUGAUGCAGUAGCUUUUACUAUUGGUGGAAAUCGAUGUUUUUUCCUUGAAAGUCUACCUUUCUAAGUUCAGUAAACCAAAUUAGAUCAUGUAUGUGAAAGCACUUUGUAAACUAUGCAGUACUCCAGAAAAGGCAGCCAAGCCCUUAAUUAUAACUCACCAAACAGC